CUUGAGAUCAAAUCCCGGGGGUUAAGGGAAAGGGGAUGGAUUACUCCUCUUGUAACCCAUGAAGCGGAAAAAAAUGAAAAUACCAUGUUUCAAUAUCUUAUCUUUGUUAUUGGCUUUAAUAACUAUUAAGGAAAACAGCCUAAGGCGGUUGUUUAGAGCCGGCGCUGCCCUUUCUCCUGCUGCUACUGCUGAUAGACUCUCGGCUGGUCAUAGAAGAUGCUAUUAAAACUUUCAAAGUCUUCAGUCAAAGCUUAAAGGGUACUAGAAAGUUUCAAUCUGGAAUGGAAGUUGCUAUUUGUUUGUGAAAAUUCAUUGGCAGAAUUGGGGCCGAGUGGAUAAUUUCAGAUAUAAUUGCUGUUUUAUAUGUGUGGAUGCUUCUCUCCCUGUGUUAGAUCGAUGAUAUGUGGAAAAGCGAGUAGACAGCAUGAUGAUAUUUAUAGCCUGACUCAGAUUACACUCGGGGGUUGCGGCAGGCUAUUGGUGUACGCGAAUUUGAAGAUUUUCUUAGAAUAUUUCAUUCCAAUACAAAUGCAUCUCAUUCUUGUAUGACAGAUGCACAUUAUGACUCAAGUUCUGGGGGUGGCACGAGUACAUUGACAAACAAGGGAAAUAGAGAAUUUGAGGGCUAUUUUGGAUUUCUCUGAUGAUGACUAUUACAAAAUUAUCUUACAAGAAGCUUUUGACAAGCUAAAAGCAAAUACCAGAAGACUUGUUCGUCGUCAAGUUUAAGUGGAUCUACAUUGGAAGAUGUGCUGCAUUAUUUGACAAAUUGAAUGUUUUCGAAGUCCUUGUAUUUUUUUAUAUAUCAAUUGG